rnacentral:rRNA from 1 species
GACGAAGGAUGCAAGCGUUAUCCGGAUUCAUUGGGUUUAAAGGGUGCGUAGGCGGCCAGAUAAGUCAGUGGUGAAAUCCUGUUGCUUAACAACAGAACUGCCAUUGAUACUGUUUGGCUUGAGUAUAGUUGCUGUGGGCGGAAUAUGACAUGUAGUGGUGAAAUACAUAGAGAUGUCAUAGAACACCGAUUGCGAAGGCAGCUCACAAAAACUAUAAACUGACGCUGAGGCACGAAAGUGCGGGGAUCAAACAGG